rnacentral:tRNA from 1 species
AUAUUGAUUUGGCAGAUUAGUGCAUUAAAUUUAGAAUUUAAAUAUGUAUUUUACAAUCAAUA